rnacentral:rRNA from 1 species
GAGUUUGAUCUUGGCUCAGGACGAACGCUGGCGGCGUGCCUAAUACAUGCAAGUCGAGCGAGGGUUUUCGGACCCUAGCGGCGGACGGGUGAGUAACACGUAGGCAACCUGCCUCUCAGACCGGGAUAACAUAGGGAAACUUAUGCUAAUACCGGAUAGGUUUUGGAUUGCAUGAUCCGAAAAGAAAGAUGGCUUUUGGCUAUCACUGGGAGAUGGGCCUGCGGCGCAUUAGCUAGUUGGUGGGUAACGGCCUACCAAGGCGACGAUGCGUAGCCGACCUGAGAGGGUGACCGGCCACACUGGGACUGAGACACGGCCCAGACUCCUACGGGAGGCAGCAGUAGGGAAUUUUCCACAAUGGACGAAAGUACUGAUGGA